GAUGAACGCUGGCGGCGUGCCUAAUACAUGCAAGUCGAGCGAACGGACGAGAAGCUUGCUUCUCUGAUGUUAGCGGCGGACGGGUGAGUAACACGUGGAUAACCUACCUAUAAGACUGGGAUAACUUCGGGAAACCGGAGCUAAUACCGGAUAAUAUUUUGAACCGCAUGGUUCAAAAGUGAAAGACGGUCUUGCUGUCACUUAUAGAUGGAUCCGCGCUGCAUUAGCUAGUUGGUAAGGUAACGGCUUACCAAGGCAACGAUGCAUAGCCGACCUGAGAGGGUGAUCGGCCACACUGGAACUGAGACACGGUCCAGACUCCUACGGGAGGCAGCAGUAGGGAAUCUUCCGCAAUGGGCGAGAGCCUGACGGAGCAACGCCGCGUGAGUGAUGAAAGUCUUCGGAUCGUAAAACUCUGUUAUUAGGGAAGAACAUAUGUGUAAGUAACUGUGCACAUCUUGACGGUACCUAAUCAGAAAGCAACGGCUAACUACGUG
rnacentral:rRNA from 1 species